CUAAGAUCAAGGAUGUUGUGCAGAGCUAAAAUUCAUACCCCACUCAGAAUGACACAGGAGACAAGCAGGCAAACUAUGGAUGAGCUGCAGAGGAAGAAAAACAAAGGAGAAAAGCUGUGGCUUCCUUUCCCGCUCCUGGGUCCAGGCUGGCUGGCAAAGCUGGCGUCUGGAGGAUCAGAGGAGGCACAGUUGAGGAAGGUGAUUUGUGAUCAGGAGGCCCCAAGCAGAGGAAGGUUACUCAUAAUUAUCUACACACCAGGACUUCAAGGGGUGCCACGGGUAGGAAGUGCCCUAGAAGUUCACAGAAGGGCUUUAUGACCUGCUGAUGAGUGUACAUCAAUGCCAUCUGGAGAGGGCUGUGAGGA